GGCACUAUGGCCGAGUGGUUAAGGCGAAAGACUUGAAUUAAAGUUCAGGCAUCUUUUGGGAUUCUCCCGCGUCGGUUCAAAUCCGGCUGGUGUCG
rnacentral:tRNA from 1 species